rnacentral:rRNA from 2 species
CUUGGUGGCCAAGGCGUGGGUGUCCCACCCGAUCCCAUUCCGAACUCGGACGUGAAACCCCACAGCACCCAUGGUACUGCGCGACAACGCGCGGGAGAGUAGGUCGCUGCCAGGC